AGGGGGUGUGGGGAGGGUCGGGGGAUGUUUCUCGGCCCACAAACCAGUCUGUUGGCGUCUGAUUUCAGAUCCUGAGUCGACUCCCUGCCGAAAGCAACCGAGACAGUCACGAGCCGGGAAAAACCGCGUCGACCUGAAAUCCAAAGGAACGCAGUGCCCCGACCUGCCGGAUUCCACAGUGUCAGGCUCCGUACCCAGACUGAGAAAGGUAGAUGCCCAUUAGCGGGAAUGAGCAGCCGAGCAGAAGCUUUAUGAAGAUCUCAUUGGAAUCCAGCGGAUGAUUAAUGUGAAGAUUUGGUAGGAAAUCUGGAGAGCUGUAUUAAAGCUCAGAUCUCAGGUUCAUUUCGAUCAGCCAGCCGUGAACUCUAGGCCGAAUUCAUUACACUUUAAUAGUGCUGGGAGAGAAAGAAAAUGCAAUUUCUCAUUCCAUUAGAAAACUAGAAAAUACUCUCAGCUUGUCCCCUAUUAAGAUGUGGCAGGUGACGGGACCAUUGUGGGGGACACGGUCAAUGGAAUUACAGCACAUUAUUUUUGUUCGUAUAAAAUAUUGGAAGGCAAGCCUGACUGUGCAGAAGUUAUUUCACUGAUUUGGUUUUUAUGUAAAUAAAAUAUUGAAAGUUAA